rnacentral:rRNA from 1 species
UAAAGGUAUUCCGGUAGACGAUGGGGAUGCGUUCCAUUAGAUAGUAGGCGGGGUAACGGCCCACCUAGUCUUCGAUGGAUAGGGGUUCUGAGAGGAAGGUCCCCCACAUUGGAACUGAGACACGGUCCAAACUCCUACGGGAGGCAGCAGUGAGGAAUAUUGGUCAAUGGGCGAGAGCCUGAACCAGCCAAGUAGCGUGAAGGAUGACUGCCCUAUGGGUUGUAAACUUCUUUUAUAAAGGAAUAAAGUCGGGUAUGGAUACCCGUUUGCAUGUACUUUAUGAAUAAGGAUCGGCUAACUCCGUGCCAGCAGCCGCGGUAAUACGGAGGAUCCGAGCGUUAUCCGGAUUUAUUGGGUUUAAAGGGAGCGUAGAUGGAUGUUUAAGUCAGUUGUGAAAGUUUGCGGCUCAACCGUAAAAUUGCAGUUGAUACUGGAUAUCUUGAGUGCAGUUGAGGCAGGCGGAAUUCGUGGUGUAGCGGUGAAAUGCUUAGAUAUCACGAAGAACUCCGAUUGCGAAGGCAGCCUGCUAAGCUGCAACUGACAUUGAGGCUCGAAAGUGUGGGUAUCAAACAGGAUUAGAUACCCUGGUAG